GGGCUUGUGGUACAGUGGUAGCACGUUCGCUUAGCAUCUUGAAUGAGCAUGCGAAAGGUCCUGGGUUCAAUUCCCAGCAAGUCCA
rnacentral:tRNA from 1 species